rnacentral:misc_RNA from 1 species
UUUCCGUAGGUGAACCAGCGGAAGGAUCAUUCAUAAUAAGUGUUCUACUGCACUUUUUAAAAAUAGUACUCACCUUGUGUGCAAUGUUUGUUAGACACUUUCGGGAGUCUGACAUUUAUACCAACCUUUUAUACUUUGAACCACUUUGUCUGAAAAAUAUCAUGAAUACUUAAUUCUAAAUACAACUUUCAACAACGGAUCUCUUGGCUCUC